rnacentral:rRNA from 1 species
AUUGAACGCUGGCGGCAUGCUUUACACAUGCAAGUCGAACGGUAACAGGCCGCAAGGUGCUGACGAGUGGCGGACGGGUGAGUAAUGCAUCGGAACGUGCCCCGUCGUGGGGGGUAACUACUCGAAAGAGUAGCUAAUACCUCAUACGAUCUAUGGAUGAAAGCGGGGGACCGCAAGGCCUCGCGCGAUUGGAGCGGCCGCUGUCAGAUUAGGUAGUUGGUGGGGUAAAGGCUCACCAAGCCAACGAUCUGUAGCUGGUCUGAGAGGACGACCAGCCACACUGGGACUGAGACACGGCCCAGACUCCUACGGGAGGCAGCAGUGGGGAAUUUUGGACAAUGGGCGCAAGCCUGAUCCAGCAAUGCCGCGUGCAGGAAGAAGGCCUUCGGGUUGUAAACUGCUUUUGUACGGAACGAAACGGCUCUGGUUAAUACCCGGGGCUAAUGACGGUACCGUAAGAAUAAGCACCGGCUAACUACGUG